GAUCAACGCUGGCGGCGUGCCUCAGACAUGCAAGUCGAACGCGAAAGUUCCCUUCGGGGGAUAAGUAGAGUGGCGUCCGGGUGAGUAACACGUAGGUAAUCUACCUUUGGGUGGGGAAUAACAACCGGAAACGGUUGCUAAUACCGCAUAAUGCAGCGGCACCACAUGGUGACAGUUGUUAAAGGCGGGGGAUCGCAAGACCUCGCGCCUAAAGAGGAGCCUGCGGCGGAUUAGCUAGUGGUAGGGUAACGGCCUACCAAGGCAACGAUCCGUAGCCGGCCUGAGAGGGCGGUCGGCCACACUGACACUGAAAUACGGGUCAGACUCCUACGGGAGGCAGCAGUCGGGAAUUUUGGGCAAUGGGCGAAAGCCUGACCCAGCAACGCCGCGUGAAGGAU
rnacentral:rRNA from 1 species